CCCGGUGACAAUUGCGCAAGGGAAACACCUCUUCCCAUUCCGAACAGAGAAGUUAAGCCUUGUUGCGUCGAUGGUACUGCUCGGAUUCCCGUGUGGGAGAGUAGAUAGUUGCCGGGU
rnacentral:rRNA from 3 species